GGUCCUGGUGCAUCCGGUUCUCCGUGUCCCGGGGCCAUCCCCGGCCCCUUCCCGAGAGCUCCCGGCGGCUCCAGCGGGCGCUGCUGCUCCGCAGAGCCGGGACCGACACCGGGGAGGGGCCCCGGGCUCCGGCGGCCGAGUGCUGGGAGCGGAGCCCGAGGGCUGAGCCUGGGCUGGGGCCGUGCUCGGAGCUGGGCAAUGGAGUCCUGAGCGUUGGAGUCUGGAAACCAAGCGGGGCCGGUUCGGGCCUUGAUGCUGCUCCUGUCUGCACGUGAUCCUCCAGAGCAAGACCAGAGGAAAUCCAGGGAAGACUGCUGGGAUACCUUCCAUCCUCUCUUGGAAAUGGGAUUGUCUGACAGUGCCCAAUGGGCUGGAGGCUGUGAGCAUCGAGAGCAGGGGCUGCCUGUCCACGCUGACCUUCUGCAGCAUCUCAAAGGACUAUGGCAACUCCAUGCGUAUGGCCAGGAGCAAGCUGGGCAUCACCAGUGCCAGCAGCAUCCUGUAGGGCAGGUGCCCUGUUCCCUGUUCAAGGAGGAAGAGGAAGAAGGAUGAAGAAGAAGUGAAUGGCUGGCCAGCAAUAGAAGGGAGUGGGUUUUCUUUAGCAAUGCCAGCCCAUGGAGGUGCAGAACAGCCGAGCUCUGAGUGCCGAGGAUGCAUCAGAGGAUGCUGAGGAGCUGUGCAUGGGCCCAUGCAGGAGGGCCCUGCUUGGUGGUGGUCAUGGUGCGUGUUUAGGGAUGAGCAGCGGACGGUGAAGAGACAGAUGGGACAUCGUUGGAACACAGGCCCAAGGAGAGGCCCCGUUCAGGUAAGGACACACUGGGGACACAGUGUAGGGUAUCUGCAGGUUGUCCUCUUGGCAGGGAUACAGGCAGUAGUUAAGGGGUGCAGGCAGUGGCAGGAGGGGAAGUGUAGGUGUCAGGCUGGGUAGCUGCAGGUGCAAUUUGCCUGUUGCAGGUUUCAGGUUGGGAAGCAUAGGGGUUAGAUGGUAUAACAAAGGUGUUAGUUUGGGUAGUGCUGGUGUCACUUUGGGUAUUACAGGUGUUAGGUUGGAUCCUGUAGGUGGCACUUUGGGAACCAGAGGUGUUAGG